rnacentral:sRNA from 1 species
UGUCUAAAACAUGGCAGAGACUCGAUGAAGA